CCUCAAAUCAGGUAGGACUACCCG
rnacentral:ncRNA from 2 species